rnacentral:rRNA from 1 species
UACGGAGGAUGCGAGCGUUAUCCGGAUUUAUUGGGUUUAAAGGGUGCGUAGGCGGACGCUUAAGUCAGCGGUAAAAUUGCGGGGCUCAACCUCGUCGAGCCGUUGAAACUGGGUGCCUUGAGUGGGCGAGAAGUACGCGGAAUGCGUGGUGUAGCGGUGAAAUGCAUAGAUAUCACGCAGAACUCCGAUUGCGAAGGCGGCAUACCGGCGCCCUACUGACGCUGAGGCACGAAAGCGUGGGUAUCGAACAGG